rnacentral:miRNA from 1 species
GGCCAGAGGGGCAGGGUGGAGCAGGCAGGAGAGCUGUUGGCUUUACUCUGGG